rnacentral:rRNA from 1 species
UUCCGGUUGAUCCUGCCGGAAGCUACCGCUAUUGGAGUUCGAUUAAGCCAUGCGAGUCGAGAGUCCUCGGGACUCGGCGUACCGCUCAGUAACACGUGGGUAACCUGCCCUAUGCUGGGGAAUAACCUCGGGAAACUGAGAAUAAUGCCCCAUAGCCCACUACGCCUGGAACGGUGAGUGGGUCAAAGCCCCGGCGGCAUAGGAUGGGCCUGCGCCGUAUCAGGUUGUAGGGGGUGUAAAGUACCCUCUAGCCAUCAACGCGUACGGGUGUUGGGAGACAUUGCCCGGAGAUGGAUUCUGAGACACGAAUCCAGACCCUACGGGGUGCAGCAGGCGCGAAAACUUGGCAAUGCGAGCAAUCGUGACCAGGGAACUCCAAGUGCGUAGGGUAAGACCUACGCUUUUCUUGACUCUUCAAAGGUCUUGGAAUAAGGGGUGGGUAAGGACGGUGCCAGCCGCCGCGGUAAUACCGGCGCCUCAAGUGGUAGUCGCUUUUAUUGGGCCUAAAACGUCCGUAGCCGGUCUGGUGCAUUCGUGGGUAAAUCAACCCGCUCAACGGGUUGAAUUCUGCGAGCACGGCCAGAC